GACGAAGGGGGCUAGCGUUGUUCGGAAUUACUGGGCGUAAAGCGCGUGUAGGCGGUUGCCAAAGUCGGGUGUGAAAGCCUUGAGCUCAACUCAAGAAAUGCACUCGAUACUGGGUGACUAGAGGACCGGAGAGGAUAGUGGAAUUCCCAGUGUAGUGGUGAAAUACGUAGAGAUUGGGAAGAACACCAGUGGCGAAGGCGGCUAUCUGGACGGUUUCUGACGCUAAGACGCGAAAGCGUGGGGAGCAAACAGG
rnacentral:rRNA from 1 species